AAAGAAAUCGUUAAGGGCGUAUGGCGGAUGCCUAGGCUUUCAGAGGCGAAGAAGGACGUGGUAAGCUGCGAAAAGCUCGGGGGAUUGGCACACACGAAUUGAUCCCGAGAUGUCCGAAUGGGGCAACCCGGCAUGUUGAAGACAUGUCAUCUUGAUGUUUACAUUGAGAAGCAAACCCGGAGAACUGAAACAUCUAAGUACCCGGAGGAAAAGAAAUCGAAGAGAUUCCGUAAGUAGUGGCGAGCGAAAGCGGAUUAGCCCAAAAGUCGUUAUAUGUUUAGAGGAAUGUUCUGGAAAGAACAAUCACAGAAGGUGAUAAUCCUGUACUCGAAAGGCAUAUUCUGAUGAUAAAUGAGUAGGGCGGGACACGUGAAAUCCUGUCUGAAUAUGGGGGGACCAUCCUCCAAGGCUAAAUACUCCUGAAAGACCGAUAGUGAACAAGUACUGUGAAGGAAAGGUGAAAAGCACUUCGAAUAGAAGGGUGAAAUAGAACCUGAAACCGUACGCCUACAAGCGGUCGGAGCAGAUUAAUUCUGUGACGGCGUGCCUUUUGCAUAAUGAGCCUACGAGUAAUUUUUACUAGCGAGGUUAAGGACUUCAGGUCCGGAGCCGGAGCGAAAGCGAGUCUGAACAGGGCGCAUAGUUAGUAGGAUUAGACGCGAAAACCUUGUGAUCUACCCAUGGGCAGGUUGAAGCUUUGGUAACACAAAGUGGAGGACCGAACCGGUUGACGUUGAAAAGUCUUCGGAUGACCUGUGGGUAGGGGUGAAAGGCCAAUCAAACUGGG
rnacentral:ncRNA from 1 species